rnacentral:rRNA from 1 species
CAGUAGCCGCGGUAAUACGGAGGGAGCUAGCGUUGUUCGGAAUUACUGGGCGUAAAGCGCACGUAGGCGGUUAUUCAAGUCAGAGGUGAAAGCCCGGGGCUCAACCCCGGAACUGCCUUUGAAACUAGAUGACUGGAAUCUUGGAGAGGUCAGUGGAAUUCCGAGUGUAGAGGUGAAAUUCGUAGAUAUUCGGAAGAACACCAGUGGCGAAGGCGACUGACUGGACAAGUAUUGACGCUGAGGUGCGAAAGCGUGGGGAGCAAACAGGAUUAGAUACCCCUGUAGUCCCUGUCUCUUAUAC